rnacentral:lncRNA from 1 species
GAUUGGAAGAAAAUUUCCUUCUCAAUAAAUUUGGGGGAGAAGAUGAUAUUGGUGCUUGCUUAAGGGUGAAUUUCUAUCCAAAGUGUCCACAACCUGACCUUACUUUGGGCAUAUCACCUCACUCAGAUCCUGGUGGUAUGACCAUUCUUCUACCUGAUGAUUUUGUGGCUGGCCUUCAAGUACGAAAAGGAAAUGAAUGGAUCACUAUUAAGCCUAUCCCUAAUGCCUUUAUCAUCAACAUUGGUGACCAAAUUCAGGUCCUACACCU